rnacentral:rRNA from 1 species
GCUACAAUGGACAAUACAAAGGGCAGCGAAACCGCGAGGUCAAGCAAAUCCCAUAAAGUUGUUCUCAGUUCGGAUUGUAGUCUGCAACUCGACUACAUGAAGCUGGAAUCGCUAGUAAUCGUAGAUCAGCAUGCUACGGUGAAUACGUUCCCGGGUCUUGUACACACCGCCCGUCACACCACGAGAGUUUGUAACACCCGAAGCCGGUGGAGUAACCUUUUAGGAGCUAGCCGUCGAAGGUGGGACAAAUGAUUGGGGUGAAGUCGUAACAAGGUAGCCGUAUCGGAAGGUGCGGCUGGAUCACCUCCUUU